rnacentral:rRNA from 1 species
AACGAACGCUGGCGGCAUGCCUAACACAUGCAAGUCGAACGAGGCCUUCGGGGCUAGUGGCGCACGGGGGCGUAACGCGUGGGAACCUGCGCUUAGGUUCGGAAUAACUCCCCGAAAGGGGUGCUAAUAACGGAUAAUGUCUUCGGACCAAAGAUUUAUCGCCUAUGGAUGGGUCCGCGUUGGAUUAGCUAGUUGGUAGGGUAAAAGCCUACCAAGGCGACGAUCCAUAGCUGGUCUGAGAGGAUGAUCAGCAACACUGGGACUGAGACACGGCCCAGACUCCUACGGGAGGCAGCAGGUGGGAAUAAUCGACAAUGGGCGAGAGACUGAUCCAGCAAUGCCGUGUGAGUGAUGAAGGCCUGAGGGUUGUAAAGCUCUUUUACCCGGGAUGAUAAUGACAGUACCGGAAGAAUAAGCGCCGGCUAACUCCGUG